rnacentral:rRNA from 1 species
CCAGUGCAUUAAAUACGAUUGCAAAGCUUUCCUAUGAGACGAAGAAAACGUCAGCGGAAAAUGCUGCGACGACUUACGUAAAAGCAAAAAUUUACAGUGAGAAGUACAGUGAGUAUGAAGAAAAGGCAAAAGAGAAGUUAAAAGACACCUAUUUUGAAGAAGAUGGCAGUCUGAAACCGGGUAAGACACAAGAGGCUUAUGAUGCAGCAGUGGCAAAACAGGCAGAUGCUGAUACAACUUCGUAUGUAGGAACGCAGUUAAAGGAAAGCGAUGUGAAGCUGCAAAUUGAUGAAGCAGCUUUUUCCGGCAAGACGGAAGCGGAUAUGGCUGAUUUCAGUGAAGAGGCAGUAAAGAAAUAUUAUGGUGAAACGGUAACCGCCUUUACCGGUAUGGAUGGCAUAGAUGAGGAGAGCGAAAAAAACCGCCUUACUUCCUAUGUACAGGAUUAUGCUUCUAUUUCUGACCGUGAUGAGGUUCUGGCAGGUUCCGCCUUAUCCGGACUUGGUAUGGCUGAUAUCGCAGUCGAUGCAGAUGGAAAUGUUACGGUUAAUGGUGGAGCAAAUGACAGCAGUAAUUCCACGAUUCCAAAGGGUAUGGCGUUGAUUGAAGCUUCUGACAGUAAGAUUAUUUUGAACGGGGCAGAGCUUACAUCCUCUUCAGCCGUUGUUUCAGCGAAUGGAUUGGAUAUCACACUGACCGGAUUGACAAAAACAGAUGAGCCAAUUACUUUCUCUGUAACAAAUGAUACGGAGAGUGUUUAUAAUUCCAUUAAGAGUUUCCUGAAAGAAUAUAAUUCUGUAAUGAAGGAAAUGAACACACUUUACAAUGCGGAUUCUGCCAAAGGUUAUGAGCCAUUGACCAGUGAGGAAAAAGAGGCAAUGUCAGAUGACGAUGUGAAACUUUGGGAGGAUAAGAUUAAAAACUCCCUGCUUCGCAGUGAUUCAACAUUGAGCAGCAUUAUGAGUUCAAUGCGUUCGGCUAUGAUGUCAACCGUUGAGUAUGAUGGCAAAACAUAUGCACUUUCCAGUUUUGGUAUUAUGACAUCAACGGAUUAUACAGAAGGUGGUCUGCUCCAUAUUUAUGGAGAUGCGGAUGAUUCUGUAUAUUCGGCAAAAGAUGAUAAACUCAAAAAAGCACUUGAUGAAGAUCCGGAUGCUGUAAUUGCAACAUUGACCGGUGUCUUUGGCAAACUUCGUGAGACUAUGAGCCAGAAGAUGUCGGCAACGAAAUACAGCAGUUCCUUGACUUUCUACAAUGAUAUCAAGAUGAAGAGUGAUGUGAAAUCGUAUGAAGAUGAGAUUGAGGACUGGGAAGACAGACUGGCUGAGAUGGAAGACAGUUACUACAGUAAAUUUACUGCGAUGGAGACUGCGCUUGCAAAACUGCAGUCACAGCAGAGUUCCAUGUCAAGUCUUUUUAGUAGUUGAUGAGUAAAUAAGGGAGAAGUUUGAGUAUGAAUCAAAAUACGAUUAAUGCAUACCAGAGAAAUGCUAUUCUGACGGCAUCGCCGGCAGAACUUACGCUGAUGCUUUAUGAUGGGGCGAUUAAAUUCUGUAACAUCGCAAUUAUGGCGAUUGAAAAAAAGGAUAUGGAAAAGGCGCAUGUGAAUCUGAAAAAGGCACAGGCGAUUAUUUCCGAACUCCGCGUGACACUCGAUCAUAAGUACCCGGUGUGGGAAGAUUUUGACCGGGUGUAUGAUUACAUUUACAGACGUCUUGUAGAAGGAAACAUGAGCAAAGAGAUUGAUGUAAUUGAAGAUGCUCUAAAGUAUAUUCGUGAGAUGCGUGACACUUGGAAGGAAGUAAUGAAGAAAGCUGCCGGUGCGAAGUAACCGGCAGGACAGAUGUGAGGGGAUGCCGAUGAAUUCAAACAAUAGUGUCUAUGUGAGAAUGAUGGUGGAUGUGCUGAAAAGAAAAGAAAAAAUUUUGCAACAGAUUCUGGAACAGACGAAAGAACAGGAAGUAAUUCUAAAACAGGAGGACGUCGAUUACGACCGUUUUCAAGAACUUUUAGAUGAAAAAGGAAGACAAAUCGAUGAACUGAAUCAGAUUGAUACUGGGUUUCGAUAAUUUAUGUACAGGAUAGGUGGGAUGCAAAGAAGCAAGUGCGCCAGCAUUUGUGGAGCAGACGUUGGGAUACCACCCUUAAGUUAUUGGAAUUCUAACCUGUAGUCAUGAACUGGCUAGGGGACAAUGUCAGGCGGGCAGUUUGACUGGGGCGGUCGCCUCCAAAAGAGUAACGGAGGCGCGCAAAGGUUUCCUCAGCGCGGACAGAAAUCGCGCAAGAGAGUGCAAAGGCAGAAGGAAGCUUAACUGAGAGACUGACAAGUCGACCAGAUACGAAAGUAGGUCUUAGUGAUCCGGCGGUAGUGAGUGGAAAUGCCGUCGCUCAACGGACAAAAGUUACCCUGGGGAUAACAGGCUUAUCUCCCCCAAGAGUUCACAUCGACGGGGAGGUUUGGCACCUCGAUGUCGGCUCAUCACAUCCUGGAGCGGAAGUACGUUCCAAGGGUUGGGCUGUUCGCCCAUUAAAGUGGUACGCGAGCUGGGUUCAGAACGUCGUGAGACAGUUCGGUCCUUAUCUGUCGCAGGCGCAGGAUAUUUGAGGGGAGUUGACCUUAGUACGAGAGGACCAGGUUGAACUUACCAAUGGUGUAUCAGUUGUCAUACCAAUGGCACGGCUGAGUAGCUAAGUAGGGAAGGGAUAAACGCUGAAAGCAUCUAAGUGUGAAGCCCACCCCAAGAUAAGAUAUCCCAUACCGUAAGGUAGUAAGAUUCCACAAAGACUAUGUGGAGAUAGGUUGGAGGUGUAAGUGCAGUAAUGCAUGUAGCUGACCAAUACUAAUAAAUCGAGGGCUUAACCA